rnacentral:lncRNA from 1 species
CCCGGCUCCGCUCGGUUCCUGGCCACCCCGCAGCCCCUGCCCAGGUGCCAUGGCCGCAUUGUACCGCCCUGGCCUGCGAUACCUCCCUCGGACCUCUAACGGGCUCUCAGCCAGCGCCCCAGGGUACUUCGAGAGGCAGCAGGGCCCUGGGGACAAGGCUUUUGUCCCAGAGUCGGAAGUGACCCACAUCUGUCGCACAGCCCGUUCCACUUGGGCAGCCCUUGUGGGUGGUCUCUGAAGGAAACGUCCCACUUAGAGGGCUGCAAGAGGGUGUGGGGGCUUCACAAGAGAUAACGUGAGCCAGGCUCCAGGGAGAGAGAGGCUGUCCUCAAGACUGUGUGCUUGAAAACUGAUGCUCACGGAGAACUUCCCUCUGAGGCAGGAACAGACCCAGGCUUAACUGGCAUGGGCUGAGCCCCUUGGGCUGGCCAUCAUGCCGUAGCAUCCAGACCCUGCGAGUGCUUAGUGGAGAUCUGGGCCAGCUUCCCACUGGCAUUCGAGAUUUUGUAGAGCACAGUGCCCGCCUGUGCCAACCAGAGGGCAUCCACAUCUGUGAUGGAACUGAGGCUGAGAAUACUGCCACACUGACCCUGCUGGAGCAGCAGGGCCUCAUCCGAAAGCUCCCCAAGUACAAUAACUGCUGGCUGGCCCGCACAGACCCCAAGG